rnacentral:rRNA from 1 species
GAUGAACGCUGGCGGCGUGCCUAAUACAUGCAAGUCGAGCGAACGGACGAGAAGCUUGCUUCUCUGAUGUUAGCGGCGGACGGGUGAGUAACACGUGGAUAACCUACCUAUAAGACUGGGAUAACUUCGGGAAACCGGAGCUACUACCGGAUAAUAUUUUGAACCGCAUGGUUCAAAAGAGAAAGACGGUCUUGCUGUCACUUAUAGAUGGAUCCGCGCUGCAUUAGCUAGUUGGUAAGGUAACGGCUUACCAAGGCAACGAUGCAUAGCCGACCUGAGAGGGUGAUCGGCCACACUGGAACUGAGACACGGUCCAGACUCCUACGGGAGGCAGCAGUAGGGAAUCUUCCGCAAUGGGCGAAAGCCUGACGGAGCAACGCCGCGUGAGUGAUGAAGGUCUUCGGAUCGUAAAACUCUGUUAUUAGGGAAGAACAUAUGUGUAAGUAACUGUGCACAUCUUGACGGUACCUAAUCAGAAAGCCACGGCUAACUACGUG